UUUGUAAUCUGGCUGUCUUCGAUAGUCCGAGUUGUAAUCUAUAGACGUGUUUUCCGUGCUGGACCGUAUCUAAGUCCCUUGGAACAGGGUAUCAAAGAGGGUGAUAAUCCCGUGCUUGAUACGACCACCAGUGCUCUGUGAUACACGCUCUACGAGUCGAGUUGUUUGGGAAUGCAGCUCAAAAUGGGUGGUAAAUUCCAUCUAAAGCUAAAUAUUGGCGAGAGACCGAUAGCGAACAAGUACCGUGAGGGAAAGAUGAAAAGCACUUUGGAAAGAGAGUUAAACAGUACGUGAAAUUGUUGAAAGGGAAACGAUUGAAGUCAGUCGUGUUCUUCAGAUUCAGCUGGUUCUUCCAGUCUACUUCUGUUGAACGGGUCAACAUCAGUUUUGUCCGGUGGAUAAAGGUAGUAGGAAUGUGACUCCUCCGGGAGUGUUAUAGCCUAUUAUUGCAUACACUGGGUGAGACUGAGGACUGCAGCUCGCCUUUUGGCCGGUCUUCGGACACGUUCGAGCUUAGGAUGUUGACAUAAUGG
rnacentral:rRNA from 1 species